rnacentral:misc_RNA from 1 species
AGCGUCAUUAAGACCACACUUGGGCUUCUGUCCAGCGUUGGGGAUCCGCCCAGGCGGUCCCUCAAAUAUACCGGCGGAGACGCGGUAGCCGCUCAGCGUAGUAACUUUUCUCGCUUUUGUCGGCGCCGCGGCCCCUGCCGUAAAACCCCCCAAUUCUUUUGGUUGACCUCGGAUCAGGUAGGAAUACCCGCUGAACUUAA